AGUGAACGCUGGCGGUAGGCCUAACACAUGCAAGUCGAACGGCAGCACAGUAAGAGCUUGCUCUUACGGGUGGCGAGUGGCGGACGGGUGAGGAAUACAUCGGAAUCUACUUUUUCGUGGGGGAUAACGUAGGGAAACUUACGCUAAUACCGCAUACGACCUACGGGUGAAAGCAGGGGAUCUUCGGACCUUGCGCGAUUGAAUGAGCCGAUGUCGGAUUAGCUAGUUGGCGGGGUAAAGGCCCACCAAGGCGACGAUCCGUAGCUGGUCUGAGAGGAUGAUCAGCCACACUGGAACUGAGACACGGUCCAGACUCCUAAGGGAGGCAGCAAUGGGGAAUAUUGGACAAUGGGCGCAAGCCUGAUCCAGCCAUACCGCGUGGGUGAAGAAGGCCUUCGGGUUGUAAAGCCCUUUUGUUGGGAAAGAAAAGCAGCAGGUUAAUACCCCGCUGUUCUGACGGUACCCAAAGAAUAAGCACCGGCUAACUUCGUG
rnacentral:rRNA from 1 species